rnacentral:rRNA from 1 species
AUUGAACGCUGGCUUGCAUGAGCGGUACACAUGCAAGUCGAACGGCAGCACGGGGGCAACCCUGGUGGCGAGUGGCGGACGGGUGAGUAAUACAUCGGAACGUGUCCUGUAGUGGGGGAUAGCCCGGCGAAAGCCGGAUUAAUACCGCAUACGCUCUACGGAGGAAAGGGGGGGAUCUUAGGACCUCCCGCUACAGGGGCGGCCGAUGGCAGAUUAGCUAGUUGGUGGGGUAAAGGCCUACCAAGGCGACGAUCUGUAGCUGGUCUGAGAGGACGACCAGCCACACUGGGACUGAGACACGGCCCUGACUCCUACGGGAGGCAGCAGUGUUUUUAUUUUUGGACAAUGGGGGCAACCCUGAUCCAGCAAUGCCGCGUGUGUGAAGAAGGCCUUCGGGUUGUAAAGCACUUUUGUCCGGAAAGAAAACGCCGUGGUUAAUACCCGUGGCGGAUGACGGUACCGGAAGAAUAAGCACCGGCUAACUAC